AACUUUUAUUUACCCUCAUUAGCCUGUUAUACUCAAAAGGCCAGUUUCGGCUGGCUAUGACGAUAAACGUAAUGUGGAAUAAGCAGGGCGGACCCGGGGGCGGUACCCGGCGCCUCCACCAAAUAUCAGCAGGCAAAGUUAUGCAGGUUGACUUUUGGGGGCGAAAUAGGAUCGACGCAUGUGGUAAAGACAUUAUUUUCGUUCGGUAUGGUACCCGCCGUUAUCGGGCCAUGUAGUAGUUGCAAACGACAACACUGCUCCGGUUGCUAUCGCUGCUUAAUGCGGCAGGCGUAACCAUUUUAAAGUCCUGAUGGCUUGAGCUCUGUCAGGCGGGGUUUGGGGCUGCACCUGGCAACAGAAGCGGUCCCGCU
rnacentral:tmRNA from 1 species